rnacentral:rRNA from 1 species
AACGAACGCUGGCGGCAUGCCUAACACAUGCAAGUCGAACGAACCUUUCGGGGUUAGUGGCGGACGGGUGAGUAACACGUGGGAACGUGCCCUUAGGUUCGGAAUAACUCAGGGAAACUUGUGCUAAUACCGAAUGUGCCCUUCGGGGGAAAGAUUUAUCGCCUUUAGAGCGGCCCGCGUCUGAUUAGCUAGUUGGUUGAGGUAAUGGCUCACCAAGGCGACGAUCAGUAGCUGGUCUGAGAGGAUGAUCAGCCACAUUGGGACUGAGACACGGCCCAAACUCCUACGGGAGGCAGCAGUGGGGAAUCUUGCGCAAUGGGCGAAAGCCUGACGCAGCCAUGCCGCGUGAAUGAUGAAGGUCUUAGGAUUGUAAAAUUCUUUCACCGGGGACGAUAAUGACGGUACCCGGAGAAGAAGCCCCGGCUAACUUCGUG